AGCCGGCGCGCGGCCGGGCGUGCCCGCUGCGCACGCGUGCUGGGCCCUUCCGCGUCCGAGCGGCGGUGGCUCGGCGUACGGCCGCGGGGACGCCUUCGGGGAGGGCCCCCCGGAGGGGCGCUGACAGCCCGGCUUGGAUGGCUGACCCUUGGUCGGUCUCGGAUCCGGCCCAGGGCGGCGCCCCUACCUCGCGGCCCGGCCCACCCGGCUGACCGCUCAAACGCCUGCUCCCAGAUCUCUCCGUGCAGGACCUUUGAGCCCCACACUCCCCUUUCCUAAGACGGUGUCCUAUCCGCGAAGGUCGUGCGGGGAUGGAUGAGGAGGCUCCUCCAGCACUCAGCCCUCACCGUCAGGAAGAAAUAGCCCGCCUGAAGUGGUUUUCCUGCACCAGAACUGCCUGACGCUGGACUGGGAUGGGUCUGCAGUCCCCAUCUCAGCCCUUUUGAUUUUCCCUGUGCUCCCCACAAGUUGAACACAACUUUCCAUAGUCGCUCCACGUUUACAUAAGUGACAAGACUUCAGAGAAACAGGGUGGAAUAUUCAGGCAGCACAGGUGUCCCAGCUAGGGAGGUCAGAGAAUCUAGCUAGGGGUGAGGCCAGGAGUCAGGUUAGGGGUUAGGGAUGGGGGGUCAUGUUAGACAUCUGGUUAGGAGGCAGGUUAGGGGGGCAAGAUUAGGGAUGUGUGUGUUUGGGUCAUGUUAGACAUCUGAUUAGGAGGCAGGUUGGGAAUGGGGGGCGGGUCAUGAGGCAGGUUAGGGAGGCGGGUUAGGAGACAGAUCAGGGAUCAGAGAAAGACCCUGCUAUGUGCCGUACUGCAGCCACGAUCAGGCUCAGAGCAGGUGAAGUUGGAUUUGACGGGGUUGGAGUUUUGCCCAGAAGCGUGACAAAGGAGGAGAGGGACAGUGGAGUAAAGAUGUGUGCAGAAGAGUGGCCAUAAGGCUUGACUGGGAAAUUUAAACUGGGGCGGGGGGUGGGGGGAGGGUGGAAGAGCUGGGAGCAGUGCCAGACGGUGGGAAGUGGCAGGACCACUGGCCUGUGGAGGCUGCUCAUCCUGAAGAGGGUUUGGACUCAGGUACCAGAGCAAGAGGGGGGUGCUCACAGUGGGUGGUGGGUGGCCCACAUUUAUUGGCCACGGCAGGGGCUAGGAAGUGAGCCCGGGAGAAGAGCCUCAAGUGAGGCUGGAGGCCAAUGUCCUUGGGUAGAAGAGCCAGGACGCCUUUGAGUGCCAUGGGGAAAGGCAUGCCUUCCUCCGACUGAAAGCAGUCUCACCGGGCACACGCAGCAGAAGGGGUGGGCGCUGGCCUCCAGCCCCCUCUCACCUGUCAGAACAACCUGCAUGACUGGGGCAGUGGCCUGGGCUCGGGUAUGGAAGAGAUAUUCAUUUGGGUCGUGAGUACUCAAGAAUGGUGUCUGUGGGGCUGAGACAGAGCCCACGGCCACGCCCGUUCUCUCCCUGUCUCUGUAACAGAAUGUUGGGUUCUCCGUUCACCGGCCUCCCUUGACCCUUCUUCCUUCUGCCUGCAAAGCACUGAGGGUGAUGGAAUGGAAAGAAAGGACCCUGGACUGCCAACCUUGGACUUGUUUGACUUAAAAUGUGCGCUUUCCGAGGCCAGAUCACUCAGAGCUCUGCAGCUUGCGCCUUCUUUCCUGCGGAUUCCCACUCCAGGGGACGCCAGCCCUGUGUUGGGAGGACACUGGAGCAGCUUGUGGAGAGGCCCCUGCGGGGUGGAACGGAGGCUGCCUGCCAAUAGCCAGAAACACCCGAGUCAGCCAUCUUGGUAGCCCACCUGCCUCCCCAAAGCUGGCUUACCCACCCUGAAUUCCCCACCAAAGAAACCGCACGUGAUAACCAAUGUCUACUGUUGUUUUCAACCAUUAAGUUUUGGGGCAACGUGACACAUGACAAUCAAGAAUAGACAAGUUCCCGGGGCAUGGAUCCCGGUGUUUCUGCCAUGCGCCAGAGACGUUCGUGGGCUUGGACGAGGUGUCCACUCCAGCGGGCCCAGAGCUCCCACGACAGUUGUUCUCUGGCAAGCCUGGAGGCCUCACCAUCCGUGCAGCCCCGUCCUCAGCCAAGGACAGUGGGAACUCUGAGACUCCCCUCUCCACGGAUUCCAGCAGCACCACUGCGUCCUCAGCUCAGUAAUACGGGGUGGCCUGGCUGGACGCCAGGGUGGGAGACUGCCACAGUAGCAAGCUGGGGUGGGCAAGGUGGACCUCGGGAAUUUCCCUUCCCCGGGGAUUGCAGUCCUGCAUUUCCUGUUUUUCACACCUGAGAAGGGCUGCCUCAUCUGUUUUGUCCAUGUUAAUGAUUGGUUACAGUGGAGGGCCAGUCUGGCACAGGAUUCUCUCCAAUAGCCCAUACAGAAGCCUCAAUCAAAUUUGUUUUUUUCAAAGCCAAGCUCUUUCUACAUUUGUGGGCAACCUGGUGAGCUCUGAAUCAAGCCUAGAAUUUAGUUAGUGGUAGUGGACUGACGUUGGUUUCUUAGUUGUGAUAAAGCUACCACGGAAAUGUAAGGUGUGGACAUUAAAGGAAAUGGGUGGGGGGAGCUCUGUGUCAUCUGUGCAUCUUUCCUGUAAAUGUGACAUUAUUGCAAUAAAAAAUGUUAAAUGA